rnacentral:rRNA from 1 species
UGGGGAAUAUUGCACAAUGGAGGGAACUCUGAUGCAGCAACGCCGCGUGCGGGAUGACGGCCUUCGGGUUGUAAACCGCUUUCAGCCAUGACGAAGCUUUUGUGACGGUAGUGGUAGAAGAAGCACCGGCUAACUACGUGCCAGCAGCCGCGGUGAUACGUAGGGUGCGAGCGUUGUCCGGAAUUAUUGGGCGUAAAGAGCUUGUAGGCGGUUUGUCGCGUCGAAAGUGUAAACUCAGUGCUUAACGCUGAGCCUGCUUUCGAUACGGGCUGACUAGAGGAGGAUAGGGGAGAAUGGAAUUCCCGGUGGAGCGGUGGAAUGCGCAGAUAUCGGGAGGAACACCAGUGGCGAAGGCGGUUCUCUGGACCUUUCCUGACGCUGAGAAGCGAAAGCGUGGGUAGCAAACAGG